AACGAACGCUGGCGGCAUGCCUAACACAUGCGAGUCGAACGAAGGCUUCGGCCUUAGUGGCGCACGGGUGCGUAACGCGUGGGAAUCUGCCCUUGGGUUCGGAAUAACGUCGGGAAACUGACGCUAAUACCGGAUGAUGACGUAAGUCCAAAGAUUUAUCGCCCAAGGAUGAGCCCGCGUCGGAUUAGCUAGUUGGUGAGGUAAAAGCUCACCAAGGCGACGAUCCGUAGCUGGUCUGAGAGGAUGAUCAGCCACACUGGGACUGAGACACGGCCCAGACUCCUACGGGAGGCAGCAGUGGGGAAUAUUGGACAAUGGGCGAAAGCCUGAUCCAGCAAUGCCGCGUGAGUGAUGAAGGCCUUAGGGUUGUAAAGCUCUUUUACCCGGGAUGAUAAUGACCGUACCGGGAGAAUAAGCUCCGGCUAACUCCGUG
rnacentral:rRNA from 1 species